rnacentral:rRNA from 1 species
GACAGGGGUCUCGAGCGUUAAUCGGAAUUACUGGGCUUAAAGGGUGCGUAGGCGGACCGGAACGCGUCCCGUGAAAGCCCCCGGCUCAACCGGGGAACUGCGGGGCGAACGGACGGUCUCGAGGCGGGUAGGGGUCGCUGGAACCGUAGGUGGAGCGGUGAAAUGCGUAGAUAUCUACGGGAACGCCGAUGGUGAAGACGAGCGACUGGUCCCGUCCUGACGCUGAGGCACGACAGCGUGGGGAGCAAACAGG